UACGGAGGAUGCGAGCGUUGUCCGGAUUUACUGGGCGUAAAGGGAGCGUAGGCGGAUUUUUAAGUGAGAUGUGAAAGCCUUCGGCUUAACCGGAGUAGUGCAUUGGAAACUGGGAGACUUGAGUGCAGAAGAGGAGAGUGGAACUCCAUGUGUAGCGGUGAAAUGCGUAGAUAUAUGGAAGAACACCAGUGGCGAAAGCGGCUCUCUGGUCUGUAACUGACGCUGAGGUUCGAAAGCGUGGGUAGCAAACAGG
rnacentral:rRNA from 1 species